UGGCAUUCCUGUUGAGGAAUCAAGUUGCACCUGACCCCUGUGCACUGAGUGCACUAAAGAUUCAUUGCAAGUCUUUGCCUCUGCACCCUCCACAUUGCAUUGAAUAAUCUGUGUGUCUGUUUUCUCCCACUAGGUUUUCAAUUUGUCAAAGAUAAGGAGGUAGUUGCCCUGCACUUUGUAUCUUCAGCAUUUAACACACUCCCUGGCAUAGAUAUUGUUUGUUUGAUGCUUAAAUAAAACAAACUGAAAGACCUUAUAGUUAAGUGAAAGAUAAAUACAAUUAAAGUGUUAUCGGUAUGUAUGCUCUGGAAAUAGACAUGUGAUGGUUAAUAUUGAGUGUCAACUUUAUUGAAUUGAAGGAAGCAAUGUAUUGUUCCUGGUUGUGUCUGUGAGGGUGUUGCCAAAGGAGAUAAACAUUUGAGUCAGUGGACUGAGAGAGGCAGACAGACCCACUCUCGUUCUGAGUGGGCACCAUCGAAUCAGCUGCCAAUGCCGCUAGAAUAAAGCAGGCAGAAGAAAGUGGAAUGAGCAGACUUGCUGAGUCUUCCAGCCUUCAUUUUUCUCCCAUGCUGGAUGCUUCCUGCCCUCCAAAAUCAGACUCCAAGUUCUUCAGCUUUUGGACGCUUGGACAUACACCAGUGGUUUGCCAGGGGCUCUUGGGCCUUUGGCCACAGGCAAGGCUACACUGUUGUCUUCACUACGUUUGAGGUUUUCAGACUUAGACUGGCUUCCUUGCUCCUCAGCUUGAAGAUGGCCUAUUGUGGGACUUCAACUUGUGAUCCUUGUUGGGAUAAGCAGAAGGUUUCAGAAACAAUAAAGAGGAACCAAAUGUAA
rnacentral:lncRNA from 1 species